rnacentral:lncRNA from 1 species
CUAAAACAUUGGACUCAUUCCUAUUUCUUUCGUCUUUCUAAGGCUGUGGCCCCUGCCUGGAAUGCCCUCCCUUGCCAGUGCUUAGUCAUGCCCCCCAGAGUUCCGAGUUAACUUCUUGUGUGUACAGCUUUUGCCUUCCCAGCUCAUACUCAGUGCUGGGCUGGUCCUGCAAUCUGCGUUCUUGGUUUUGAAGAGCUUCUUUAUUAGACUUACACUGUUUUUAAAGCUUCGUUAUUUGACCCUGUGGCAGAAAACUAUGGAAUCCAAGCUGUGGACCCUUUAUUCAGCCACUGUGUACCAGGAACAUGCUUACCCUAUCAGGCACACGUUCUGCCUCCAAGAAGCUGGAAGUGGGGCCACCGGGAUGGUGUUUGCCCUUCCCUGCCCUGCUGCACGUGGUAGAAACAGAAGCGUGUCAGUACAGCUGAGCCCUCCUGAUCCCUCUUGGCUGCACAGACCCGGCUCCACUUCUGUCCUUCUUUUACUGGAGAACUGAUGUCAGCCCGGCUGGAUUACAGCCCGGCGACCGUUCUGUUGCUAAUGAAUUGGCAGGGAGAACAAAACACUGCAGCGCUCCUGGAACGAUUUUGUCAUCCAUUUUUGGAGCACAAAAAACUUCGGGAUUUGGAAAAGAACAAAUGUCAUCUGAGUUGGUUUAUUUGCCUCAGGAUGUCAGGAUCCCCAGUUCACCACACCCUGAAUGUUUAUCUGAUUACAAGAACUCAUGCAAAUGACAAAAGGUUAAAGGGAAAAACUCCACCCUUGCAGCAUUUCCCUACAUGUUUCCCGCCCUCCAGGAUUGGCCGGCCGGCCUGGCUCAGGAAAAUUCUUAUAUUUACAGUCUUGUGAAUAGAGGGGCUAGGCUUGGCAGCUUCAAAAGGCUGAGGGAAUCUUGCAAAGUUGAGCUUGAAAGAGCCCUCAAGGAGCAUUAAGGCCCACAUUCUCCACUGAAGAUGAGAAACUAAAGCCAGAGAGAUGGCCUGGUGUUAUGGUUGAAUUGUGUCUCCCCAAAAUUCAUUUAUUGACAUCCUAAUGCCCAAAAUCUCAGAAUGUAACCUUAUUUGAAGACAGGGUCUUUACAAGGUAUAAGUUCAAGUUAGGUUAUCGGGGUGCGUCCUAAUUCAGUAUGACUGGCGUCCUUAGAAGAAGGAGAAAUAUGGACAGAGAGACACAUAUACAGGAAGAAUGCCAUGUGAACACGAAGACGGCCAUCUAAAGCCAAGGAGAGAGGCUGGGAACAGAGCCUCCCCUCACAGCUCUCAGAAGGAAACAGCCCUGCUAACAGUUUGAUUUCGGACUUCUCGUUUCCAGAACGAUAUUUCCUGAGUUCCCACCUGUGUCUGACCAGGUACAGGUUUAAGGUAACACAGGAACCAAAACACUGAGAGCAGGAGAGAGGAGCGAGGAACACGCGGCAGCUUCUGCGCAGGUGAGGCGUGCGCGCUGGGCACGGCGGUUUGGCCCUCUCCACGCACCAUGGAGCCUCGUGACGUCGCUCAGGACUGAGAACCACUGGAACCUCUCCAAAUCUUAGCUUUUUUCUCAGAGAACCCCCUUGAGUUAACUUGAUAAACUAAAACAAUUUUUGCAGCAGGCUAAAUCGGAUCAACCGUAGAGCAUUAAUCACGCUACAGUGAUGAGGCGAAAAGUCCUUAGACACGAAGGAACCAAGAGAACGAUUUGUAAAGGACUUAGAAAAACUACAAAAUAUACCUUCACUAAGAUUUCCGAUCAGGAUUCAGAGUAGCAGGGCUGUCUGAGAUGAUUUAGACUUGGCCUUUGCAUAAUAAACAAUUAAAGGAAAUCUCAAAAUAACCAGUAAAUGUGAAAAAAAAAAAAAAAUCUCACUUGUAACCAAAGAGGCUCUUAGUGUUCCAUGAGAGAGUUGUCACCUAAACUUGACCUUUGGGCUCAGUCUGAGGCCUGGAAGGUGCUGGGCCCGGUGGACCGAGAUUAGAAUUGUUUUGUGGGGGCACUGUUUACUGCUGUGCCUUGAGAAAUGGCCUGACCAGAGGAUCCAUUCACGUACCUUCUUGUGGGUCCCAGGGCUGCCUGGUCCAGGUAAGCCGUCCCAGUUGGGCCUCCUCCCUCAGUGCUUCAGAGAUGCUGUCCACUGGUCCUGCCAUCACAUGGAAUGGUGUUUCCCUAAUACGGCACACCCAGCAUCACCUUGGACAUUCAUAGCCUUAGGAAAUUCCUGGAAAACUGACAGGAAAGGGAGGGGAAACUGUUUCCCAUUUGCUGCUGUGGUUUGUAAGUUGGUGAGCGGGAUGGUUAAUUUUGUGUCAACUUGGCUAGGCCGUGGUAUCCAGAUAUUUGGUUAAACUUGGUCUGGUUGCUAUGAAGGAAUUUUUCAGAUGAGAUUAACACUUAAAUCAACAGAUUUUGAGUAAAGCAGAUCACCCUCCAUAAUGUGGGUGGGCUUCAUCCAGUCACUUGAGGGCCUUAAGAAAAAGUCUGACAUCCCCUGAGGAAGAGAGAAUUCUGCCAGCAGACUGCCUUCAGGCUCUGAAGUCACAACAUCAACUCUUUGCUGGGUCUUCAGCCUUCAAGCCUGCCCUACAGAUUUUGGACUUGCCAGCCUCUACAAAAAUGAACCAAUUCCUUAAAAUAAACCUCUCUCUUAUUGGUUCUGUUUCUCUGGAGAAUCCUGGCUACUACAGUGAAUAAAGAGCUUAAGUAACCCUACUUUGGGCAUAGACUGAGGCGAGAACUGGGGAGUAGAUAUCUCUACUACUUUUUAUUUGCAUACAUGUAAGAUGGUUUUGUCAAUCAAAUUAGGACUAAAUAGUCCUGAUUUGUGUCAUAUAAUUAAAUACACCAAUAUUUUGUGUUUCGAUGAUCUCCAGAUGUUUUACCACCCACACUCACUUGAAAACCAGUCAUCCGAUUGUACAAGGGAGAUGAGAAUUCUUUUCCCAACCCACUGCCAUGGUUCUCUUCUUAAGCUAAAAAGGCCCUCAGUAGAAGAGGUCUGAUCAAUUUUAUGAAGUAUUUUCGGGAAUGUAAUGAUAUAAUCCUAAAACUGAGCAUUUGUACAGUGUAUCACAAUUUAAUAAAGUGCUUUCAUGUAUAGUGUUCUAAAUUCUUCUAAAUAACUAUAUGAGUUAGGUAACAGACGUAUGAUUAUAACUCCCUCUAUUUUGCAAAAGAAGAAACUGAGGAUCAAGAAGUUAAGCAUGUACAUGUUAUACAACUGGUCUAUUCAGUGAGUCUGCGGCAAAGCCAGG